UGUGGCGUGGCCGAGCGGUCCAAGGCGCUGGUUUAAGGCACCAGUCUCUUCGGGGGCAUGGGUUCGAAUCCCAUCGCUGCCA
rnacentral:tRNA from 1 species